rnacentral:snoRNA from 1 species
GAGCAUGCUAUCCUAAGGACCUGGGCUUGAUUGUAGCUCUAGGUUCUCCAAGUGCAUGCAAGAAAAUAGGGUGGUCUUUGACUGUUGUGGCCAUUUGUGCCACUAGCAGCCACUCAGCUGUCCUACACCA